rnacentral:piRNA from 1 species
UAGCUACAUUUGCCUGAGAAUUUCAUGAA